rnacentral:misc_RNA from 1 species
UUAAGUUCAGCGGGUAACCCUACCUGAUCCGAGGUCAAACCAUAGAAAAAGGGUUCGACGGCUGGCCUUCGCCGGGGCCCGAUGCGAGAUAGAAACUACUACGCAGGGGGCGCCGCGGCGGGGCCGCCACUUCAUUUCGGGGGCUGCGGGCUCGCGCCCGCAGGGCCCCAACGCCGGGCGGCGGCCGGCCCCCGGGGGGG